AUACCUACAGCUACACCACUACCAGAAAACUACGACACGGCACUACGAGCGAUCCGAGAUGCCCCGAGGAGAGCUGGUGUUCUUUUCUUUUUUUUUUUUCAUCUGGUCCUUUCAUUUUCAAACUACGAUAUUUCCUUUUUUCAAUUCAUUAACUGCUGUUGAAAAGGCAAAAACGCCUAUUUAACGCCGAUGGAGGGAGGGGAAAUCCUAUACCCGCGAGAUUCUUGAGAUCAUUAAACCUUCGGACUUGUCUGUAUUCAACAUUCCGCCCGAUACGCGCGCUUACGCGAUUAUUAUUCUACCGGGUAGGAAGGAUACAGACUUCGGAACGCCGGUGUACCAGACUUUCGGCUAGACUGUUUUUUUAUUCCUAUUUUCGUUUCUACCAAUCGAUGAUAUCACGGACCAUCGCGCCCUCCGUCCCGAUAUGUGUGUGUGUGCGUGUACGAUAUCUACCUACACAAUUUCAUCGCUCUGCGCCGCACGCCCGGCAAUCCGAUGACGAUGCGAUGCGUGGAAUUUGAAUGUAGAGGUGGGAUGCGAUUAUUCUACGAGGGCUACGAACCCGCCGCCUACCGCGACGUAAUCUCUUUGUAAACGCUUCCGUUCUAACCUGAACAAGAAAAUGCGAUCCUGUCACGCCGCAACAACCGGUAACAAGCGACACGAGUAGCUACACACACAAGUCAUUGUUGAUUCUACGUAUCAACAAUGUCGCCGAUUAUGACGCGUGUUUAAUAAAUAAAAGAAAGAGAAUCUCCGUACGUCAAAAUUUAUACACCCGUCAUAAAUUCCUCUUGUUUAUAAUCGGAACAGCAGUCGUCUCUUCACUUGUCACUUCUGUUUAUCAUCCAAGUUAGGAAUGUUUAGAGAUUUAAGAACAUGAUUAAUUGAUAAUAUUGAAAUGCUUGAACAUUGUUUUCAUUUUUAUCUGGAGUAUGUGAUCAACUGUCGAAUCGAGGUUAUCCUUUCGUAAUAGUUGAUUAACUAGAGUCGAAAGUUUAAGAGGAUAAGUGAUGCAUGAGUGUUACCAUUAAUACGCACCGACAGUCCACACGUGCGCCUAUCAUAAAUGGAUGCACACGCCAACUGCCAACUGUCAAGGGUCGUAAAACGAGGCGUGCAUCUCAAGGUCGUCCAGCCCUCUAUUGGCUCAUCCAGCAAUUCUAUGGCCAAUCAACGGUAGUCGGUCACCAAAUGUCAUCAUGGCAGGGCACUGGUCCACAGACUGACCUUCGGAGGGGAAACGAUGACGAGUCAUGACGUCACCGUAAUACUACACCCGACAUCACGGUGGUGCUCAACCGUGAAAACGUGUAGAAAAACGUGCUGCCAUAAGCCGUUCGUUAACCACCAGUGGGAAUUUGCAUGAAUGGUGGGUCGUUCUUGAUUCUUGUUGGACGGGGCGUGUGUAUUAUCCGGUUAUCCGUUUGAAAAAUGAAUUUCAUUCGGCGUAGAAGUGAGAUCUACCAAGUGCAAAUCUAGAAUUAGGUAAUAAAAACUGUUUAAAUUUGAAAAAUAUUAUCUGACAGGCACCGAUUCAACUUACACGUCAUAUAACCUCACACAAUUUUGUAGACAAUUUUUGUGGGUAAGAAUACUUUCGAGUACAGCGUCUACUACAACAAUGAAUAGUAUUUUCAAAAGUGAUUAAUAUAUGCAGUGAGGUAAUUGUAUGGUAAUUGUGAGUUCCAUGUUAUAUUAUGUUAUGUUGGACUUGUAAGUUAAGUAAUCAAGGACACAGUGGAUGAUUCAUUUGGUACGUGAAGUGAUAUGAAUGAAAUAAAAGAGUUUACAUUAAUAAAUCUA